GCAUCUUGGAGUCAAGGGACCUGCGCCUAGAAAAGCGCACCUUGUUUCGGCUGGAUCUUGUUCCGAUUAACCGGUCAGUGGGACUCAAGGCCAAGCCCACCAAGCCCGUCACGGAGGUGCUGCGGCCCGUGGUGGCCAAAUACGGCCUGGACCUCAGUGGCCUGCUGGUGAGGCUG
rnacentral:sRNA from 1 species